rnacentral:misc_RNA from 1 species
GAUGAAGAACGUAGCGAAAUGCGAUAAGUAAUGUGAAUUGCAGAAUCCAGUGAAUCAUCGAAUCUUUGAACGCACAUUGCGCCCGCCAGCACUCUGGCGGGCAUGCCUGUUCGAGCGUCAUUUCAACCAUCAAGCCCCCAGGGGCUUGUGCUGGGGCCCUGCGGCUGCCCGCAGGCCCUGAAAACCAGUGGCGGGCUCGCUAGUCACACCGAGCGCAGUAGCACAUCUCGCUCAGGGCGUGCGGCGGGCUCCUGCCGUGAAACCCCCCACUGUAACCCCAAAGGUUGACCUCGGAUCAGGUAGGAAUACCCGCUGAACUUAAGCAUAUCAAUAAGCGGAGGA